rnacentral:lncRNA from 1 species
CGCUAAUGCAAAGGUUUCUUUAUAAACAAAGGCCGUCGUCUCCAGAUCCAUUGGCACAAGGAACAGAACCCGCCACCACCACGGCACAACCCCUGCCCGGCCACAGCUCUCUUGUUUUUCUAUUUUUUAAUUUUUUUGGAAACAGCAACCACACAGCCUCUCUAGAUAUCCAUACAUGGAGGCGCAAACGAGCAUGAAGAAUUUCGAGUCUGAUUCUGCAUUUUCAGGCAAGCGCAAGAAAAGCAAUACGUACCCAUUUGUGACUCCCGUCCGAGGAGCCAUAAAGCGACAAAUCUUCGCCUGGAUUUUGAAGAAAAUAAAGCAAGUUGCUUGUAAACUCUGUUUCUUCUCCAAAGUAUCCCCAUGAUUAGUUAUGAUCUCUGUAUACCCUUAUACGUUGUGUCUGUGUUUUCAAAUAAUUGUUGCAAAUUGUGCUUUAAUUGUACGUCCCUCCCUCUGUUUUCAGAUUUGAAAGAUUGUUUGUAAUUCAUG